rnacentral:rRNA from 1 species
UACGUAGGGUGCAAGCGUUGUCCGGAUUUACUGGGCGUAAAGAGCGCGCAGGCGGUCGAUCAAGUCGAGUGUGAAAGCCCCCGGCUCAACUGGGGAGGGUCAUUCGAAACUGGUCGACUCGAAGGCAGGAGAGGGUAGUGGAAUUCCCGGUGUAGUGGUGAAAUGCGUAGAUAUCGGGAGGAACACCUAUGGCGAAGGCAGCUCGCUGGGACGUUACUGACGCUGAGACGCGAAAGCGUGGGGAGCAAACAGG